GACAGAGGGUGCAAACGUUGUUCGGAAUUACUGGGCGUAAAGCGCGUGUAGGCGGUUCGGUAAGUCGGGUGUGAAAGCCCUGGGCUCAACCUAGGAAGUGCACUCGAAACUACCGAACUGGAGUCCCGGAGAGGGAGGCGGAAUUCUCGGUGUAGAGGUGAAAUUCGUAGAUAUCGAGAGGAACACCGGUGGCGAAGGCGGCCUUCUGGACGGCGACUGACGCUGAGACGCGAAAGCGUGGGGAGCAAACAGG
rnacentral:rRNA from 1 species